GCCGGGCGUGGUGGCGUGCGCCUGUAAUCCCAGCUACUCGGGAGGCUGAGGUGGGAGGAUGGCUUGAGUCCAGGAGUUCUGGGCUGCUGUGCGCUAAGCCAAUCUGGUGUCCGCUCUAAGUUCGGCAUAAAUAUGGUGACCUCCCAGGAGCGGGGGACCACCAGGUUGCCUAAGGUGAGGUGAAUCAGCUUAGGUCGGAAAAAGAGCAGGUCAGAUACCAUUACAAUUCAGGGCAUACAUUACUUCCCCGUGUCUGAGGAUGACAGAAGACAAUUGCAAAGAAAAUAAAAAUAACCCGAGU
rfam:Fukomys damarensis contig117526, whole genome shotgun sequence.